rnacentral:rRNA from 1 species
UACGUAGGGGGCAAGCGUUAUCCGGAUUUACUGGGUGUAAAGGGAGCGUAGACGGUUAUGCAAGUCUGAAGUGAAAGCCCAAGGCUCAACCAUGGGACUGCUUUGGAAACUGUAAAACUGGAGUGCAGGAGAGGUAAGCGGAAUUCCUAGUGUAGCGGUGAAAUACGUAGAUAUUAGGAGGAACACCAGUGGCGAAGGCGGCUUACUGGACUGUAACUGACGUUGAGGCUCGAAAGCGUGGGGAGCAAACAGG